rnacentral:rRNA from 1 species
CGCAUACGAUCUACGGAUGAAAGUGGGGGAUCGCAAGACCUCAUGCUCGUGGAGCGGCCGAUAUCUGAUUAGCUAGUUGGUAGGGUAAAAGCCUACCAAGGCAUCGAUCAGUAGCUGGUCUGAGAGGACGACCAGCCACACUGGAACUGAGACACGGUCCAGACUCCUACGGGAGGCAGCAGUGGGGAAUUUUGGACAAUGGGCGAAAGCCUGAUCCAGCAAAAGCGCGUGAGUGAAGAAGGCCUUCGGGUUGUA